rnacentral:rRNA from 2 species
UACGGAGGAUCCAAGCGUUAUCCGGAUUCAUUGGGUUUAAAGGGUGCGUAGGCGGAAUGAUAAGUCAGUGGUGAAAUCCUGCAGCUUAACUGCAGAACUGCCUCUGAUACUGUCAAUCUUGAGUACAUUUGAUGUGGGCGGAAUGUGUCAUGUAGCGGUGAAAUGCAUAGAUAUGACACAGAACACCGAUUGCGAAGGCAGCUCACAAAACUGUAACUGACGCUGAGGCACGAAAGCGUGGGGAUCGAACAGG